rnacentral:misc_RNA from 1 species
CUGCACCGGCACCGAGGCCUUGAAUGAAGUACUGCGUCAGGAGCGCGAACGCUGCGAACAGCGGCAGCGCGAUCAGUGUCGAGCCCGCCAUGAUCUCGCCCCACCGCAAAUCGAAUGAACCGACCAUCGAGGCAAGCCCCACCGGAAGGGUCUUGUUGGCAUCGCUGCCGAUCAUGAUCAGCGCGAAGGUGUAGUCGGUCCAGGACAGCAGA